rnacentral:rRNA from 1 species
GAUGAACGCUGGCGGCGUGCCUAAUACAUGCAAGUCGAGCGAACGGACGAGAAGCUUGCUUCUCUGAUGUUAGCGGCGGACGGGUGAGUAACACGUGGAUAACCUACCUAUAAGACUGGGAUAACUUCGGGAAACCGGAGCUAAUACCGGAUAAUAUUUUGAACCGCAUGGUUCAAAAGUGAAAGACGGUCUUGCUGUCACUUAUAGAUGGAUCCGCGCUGCAUUAGCUAGUUGGUAAGGUAACGGCUUACCAAGGCAACGAUGCAUAGCCGACCUGAGAGGGUGAUCGGCCACACUGGAACUGAGACACGGUCCAGACUCCUACGGGAGGUAGCAGUAGGGAAUCUUCCGCAAUGGGCGAAAGCCUGACGGAGCAACGCCGCGUGAGUGAUGAAGGUCUUCGGAUCGUAAAACUCUGUUAUUAGGGAAGAACAUAUGUGUAAGUAACUGUACACAUCUUGACGGUACCUAAUCAGAAAGCCACGGCUAACUACGUG